GAUGAACGCUGGCGGCGUGCCUAAUACAUGCAAGUCGAGCGAACAGGCGAGGAGCUUGCUCCUUUGACGUUAGCGGCGGACGGGUGAGUAACACGUGGGAAACCUACCUAUAAGAAUGGGAUAACUUCCGGAAACCGGGGCUAAUACCCGAUAAAAUAUUGAACCCCAUGGUUUAAUAGUGAAAGAAGGGUUUGCUGUCACUUUUAGAUGGAUCCGCGCCGCAUUAGCUAGUUGGUAAGGUAAAGGCUUAGCAAGGCAACGAUGCGUAGCCGACCUGAGAGGGUGAUCGGCCACACUGGAACUGAGACACGGUCCAGACUCCUACGGGAGGCAGCAGUAGGGAAUCUUCCGCAAUGGGCGAAAGCCUGACGGAGCAACGCCGCGUGAGUGAUGAAGGUCUUCGGAUCGUAAAACUCUGUUAUUAGGGAAGAACAAAUGUGUAAGUAACUAUGCACGUCUUGACGGUACCUAAUCAGAAAGCCACGGCUAACUACGUG
rnacentral:rRNA from 1 species